rnacentral:rRNA from 1 species
GGCGUAGGUGGCCUUUCAAGUCAGAUGUGAAAUCUCCCGGCUUAACUGGGAGGGUGCAUUUGAUACUGAUGGGCUGGAGUGCAGCAGAGGGAAGCGGAAUUCCCGGUGUAGUGGUGAAAUGCGUAGAUAUCGGGAAGAACACUAGUGGCGAAGGCGGUUUCCUGGGCUGUAACUGACGCUGAGGCCCGAAGGCGUGGGUAGCAAACA